GAUGAACGCUGGCGGCGCGCCUAACACAUGCAAGUCGAACGAGAGAUGAAGAGCUUGCUCUUCAGAUCGAGUGGCGAACGGGUGAGUAACGCGUGAGGAACCUGCCUCAAAGAGGGGGACAACAGUUGGAAACGACUGCUAAUACCGCAUAAGCCCACGACCCGGCAUCGGGUAGAGGGAAAAGGAGCAAUCCGCUUUGAGAUGGCCUCGCGUCCGAUUAGCUAGUUGGUGAGGUAAAGGCCCACCAAGGCGACGAUCGGUAGCCGGACUGAGAGGUUGAACGGCCACAUUGGGACUGAGACACGGGCCCAGACUCCUACGGGAGGCAGCAGUGGGGAAUAUUGCACAAUGGGGGAAACCCUGAUGCAGCGACGCCGCGUGGAGGAAGAAGGUCUUCGGGAUUGGUAAAACUCCUGUUGUUGAGGAAGAUAAUGACGGUACUCAACAAGGAAGUGACGGCUAACUACGUG
rnacentral:rRNA from 1 species